AGUAACCUGCCUUGGAGUGGGGAAUAACAGCUGGAAACAGCUGCUAAUACCGCAUGAUGCAGUUGGGUCGCAUGGCUCUGACUGCCAAAGAUUUAUCGCUCUGAGAUGGACUCGCGUCUGAUUAGCUAGUUGGCGGGGUAACGGCCCACCAAGGCGACGAUCAGUAGCCGGACUGAGAGGUUGGCCGGCCACAUUGGGACUGAGACACGGCCCAGACUCCUACGGGAGGCAGCAG
rnacentral:rRNA from 1 species